AAACACGAUGCGGGAGAGCCGGGCGAACACUGCCCGGCACCGAAGGAGCAAGCCUCCCCGCCAAUCUCUCAGGUCUACGUACCGCAUCGAACUG
rnacentral:ncRNA from 2 species